rnacentral:rRNA from 1 species
UGUGCAGGCUGUUGCUGGCCCUCCUGGAGGGGCAUGUGCACGCUUGUCAUCUUUAUUUUCUCCAACUGUGCACAUAUUGUAGACCUGGAGUUCUUGUUGAUUUCGUUUCGAGUUGGGACUGCUGUGCCCAAAACGGGUCUGGCUUUGCCUUGCAUCUCCAGGUCUACGUCGUUUUCACAACCUCUUUGCAUGUGUCUAGAAUGUUGAAUCAUAUAAUAAAUAUACAACUUUCAGCAACGGAUCUCUUGGCUCUCGCAUCGAUGAAGAACGCAGCGAAAUGCGAUAAGUAAUGUGAAUUGCAGAAUUCAGUGAAUCAUCGAAUCUUUGAACGCAUCUUGCGCUCCUUGGUAUUCCAAGGAGCAUGCCUGUUUGAGUGUCAUUCAAAGUUCUCAACCACAUCGAAAGGUGUGGCUUGGAUAUGGGGGUUUCUGCAGGCUUUUUCUCAAAGUCGGCUCCCCUGAAACACAUUAGUGGUGUAUCUGCUACCUCAGGUGUGAUAAAUUAUCUAUGCCCUUGGUAUGAACAGAUUC